rnacentral:siRNA from 1 species
AUAUUAGGGUUUUGACAGUAAUGU